rnacentral:rRNA from 1 species
AUUGAACGCUGGCGGCAUGCCUUACACAUGCAAGUCGAACGGCAGCACGGGGCAACCUGGUGGCGAGUGGCGAACGGGUGAGUAAUGCAUCGGAACGUACCUUUCAGUGGGGGAUAACGUAGCGAAAGUUACGCUAAUACCGCAUAUUCUGUGAGCAGGAAAGCAGGGGAUCGCAAGACCUUGCGCUGAUUGAGCGGCCGAUGUCAGAUUAGCCAGUUGGGGAGGUAAAGGCUCACCAAGGCGACGAUCUGUAGCGGGUCUGAGAGGAUGAUCCGCCACACUGGAACUGAGACACGGUCCAGACUCCUACGGGAGGCAGCAGUGGGGAAUUGUGGACAAUGGGGGCAACCCUGAUCCAGCCAUGCCGCGUGAGUGAAGAAGGCCUUCGGGUUGUAAAGCUCUUUCGGCCGGGAAGAAAUCGUAUGGGUUAAUACCCUGUGCGGAUGACGGUACCGGCAUAAGAAGCACCGGCUAACUACGUGCCAGCAGCCGCCGUAAAAC